AGCUGAUCAAGGAAAGAAGAUUAGGCAUGGAUAUUCAGUUUAAAAUGGUAGAGAACCAUAAUAAUACCUACCUCGAAGUGACGAUAUAAACUACAUGCCACAGAGCACCUGCUUCACACAGUGUUGGAACCCACAGAGCUGCCACCUGGAAAUCCCUGCUCAUCUAAGGGUUGCGUCUAGACUCUGUAAUGGAGGACAGGAGUCAGAAAUGGCUUUCACAUGAAAAAAUCAACAACAACAACAAAACCUCACAAAAAACGAAAAGAAAUGGCUUUCGCUAAGCUGAAAUCAAGGUAUCAGUAGUCUAUUUUGAGAAUUGCAAUGAUAAGAAAAGAUGAAAAAUGCAAUUUUAAGAAAGUUUCUACAAACUAGAGUUAAUGCAUAUAGGACUGGUUUUGAUCUGAGGUGAUCUGCUUCAAUUCUUAGUAAAGGUCAAAAUUGCUACUGGUUGUCUGCUAGUCCAUUGUCUUAAACACUGAGGGAAGAGUUUCUCAUGCUUACACAGAUAAGUCAGCUUUGCAAAAUAAAUCAUACUAUCAGCUAAAUAAGCCAAUUAAAGCAGGAAUAAUGUGAUUAAAAGCAAAUCACCCAAACAUUUAAAAUAUCUUAAAAAUCCAAUAUUUAUUCUCUAAUAAGGGAAAGUAUUCAGACUUAAUGCAUAGAAAUGGAGACGUGCUAGCUAUGCAG
rnacentral:antisense_RNA from 1 species